AUUGAACGCUGGCGGCAGGCCUAACACAUGCACGUCGAACGAGUGGCGGACGGGUGAGUAAUGUCUGGGAAACUGCCCGAUGGAGGGGAAUAACUACUGGAAACUGUAGCUAAUACCGCAUACCAUCGGAUGUGCCCAGAGGGGAUUAGCUAGUAGGUGGGGUAACGGCUCACCUAGGCGACGAUCCCUAGCUGGUCUGAGAGGAGGACCAGCCACAAUGGAACUGAGACACGGUCCAGACUCCUACGGGAGGCAGAAGUGGGGAAUAUUGCACAAUGGGCGCAAGCCUGAUGCAGCCAUGCCGCGUGUAUGAAGAAGGCCUUCGGGUGGUAAAGUACUUUCAGCGAGGAGGCGUUACUCGCAGAAGAAGCACCGGCGAACACCGUGCCAGGAGGCGCGGUAAUUC
rnacentral:rRNA from 1 species